GUGGAGAGGAGGGCGUGUGUGCGCGCCUGUAGAGCGGGGCUCGGGCUGCGUGGGAGCUGGGCGGGGAUGCGCACACACGGACCGACUCCCACAGACUGUCCCCCUUCAGGUGUCCUGGUGCAGGCUUUCAGGGAAGGGAGAGCCCCUAACCUCGCCCCACCUCCCAAAACUUCUCCCCCUGCCGUCGGGCUAUGGUAAAGGGGAAAGGACAGGACUCAGGACCUUGAGGGAGGCAUUGAGUCAGAGGGCAGAGAGGGGUCAAGGAGACCCAGGCGGGAGGCGCGGAAGCAUACAGUCUGCGGGGACAAGGACUGAACGGGGUAGUGGGAGCCAGGUCCCUGGUUCCCUUCACGCCCCCACCCCCAGCCUCAGCUCUGUCUGGGUGGAACGAAUGUCUGCUAAUGAACUAAACAAACAGGUCUCUUAAUCUUAUCAUGGAGCUGACCCAGAGACUGGCACAGAUAUCCAAAGUAUCAUAAUUGGCAGGUCAGAAUUAAAACUACAUACAUCAUGGUGACUUUAUAGCUGAGGCAAAGUGGAGCUCAAGUGUUACUUUCCCAGUAAGCAAAUCAUAAUGAAGUAUCAUGCUGGUGACUAAUUUAACUAACAUUGUCCAGGAAAUUGCUGUUGUCCAGGAAGAGAAGAGUUGAGCCGAGUGUCAACUACUAGGCUUCUGGCACCAUCCUGCACAAGAAAUUGGAGCAUAAGGGACAUUUCCACAUUCUAACUUUACAUGAAGACUCAGGACUUUGAAAGCCCAUGAGAAAGUUUUCAUAAGGAUUUAUCCACAAUUUCUUCUUUGAUUUGCUCAGAUGUGAAGCAGGAAACCUUCCAGACAUCCUGAACCUCUGAACUUUUUGUGGAUUGCCCAUCAACACAGGCAAACAUUCAUGAAGCAAUUCAAAAAUCUCUUCUCACUGCAUUAUAAGCAUGUCCUUACGUUAUUCAUAUAUCAAGAGCAUGCCCAUUCCCAACCCACAAUGGAAUGUGAGCCUAAUUACAUGUUCCUUUGGAAUAAGAUCUCACCAGCCCAGGAGUGUCAGAAACCCUCUAUCAUAUAUACGUAUCUUGUUUCCAAAAUGAUCUUCCCAAGCCACCCUAACAGGCCCCCUUCAGAAUGCUUCCUGCUGACAAGUGAAUCUGCUUUUUGCCUUUCACCCAAUCUCAGCUCAUGCUUUCUCUGUGAAAAUAUCACAGACCACAUCUGACAGUGGUCCAGCUAAUUAAUGUACUCCAAUGUCUAGCAAGCAUUUGACAGGAAAAAUAAUCUAUACAGUAUUUAUUGCAAAAUCUUCACCAAUGUGACAAAGAUGAAUGUAAACUUUACAUAAUCAUUUUUCAUUUGUUAUCCAAAGUUGAAAGUGAUUUUCAAAUGCUAACUUUAAAAUUAUGAUGAGGAAGAUAACAGCUCUGCUUUAAAACUGCUUGGCAAUGGAAUUUCUAUAGUAUAAUGGUUUAGCAAUGAGCUAGAAAAAUAAACUCUCUUGCUAAUGUAGUAAAUGGGCCAGAAAUAAACUUCUCAGGGAUUUGGGUGGUGGGGUGGGGUGAGGGAGGGGCACACAGAGGGGAUAGUGGAAUUGGAUUUCUGGAAUAAAUGAUCUGAAACCCUUAGCACACUAUAUCUUCAAAAAGCAAUGUCUUCCUUUAUAUAAUGCACGUAUCACCAUCACGAUACGAGAGCAACUCGAAGAAUCUUAACGUAUACCACGGUAAACACCUACGGCACCCAACUCAGUCUACAGCAGGACACCCAAAAGUUAAAUUCACUUUGGCUGUGGCUGUGCUCCAGGUACAUAUUUUCUCAUGAGCUUUGUUUCUUUGUUCUAGAACCAUCCUUCCCAAUAUUCCUUAACAUUGAAAUUAUACAUGUUAAAUUAAUUAUUGUUCAUUUAACUGAUGAGCUGAAACUCACGUCCUUCCUUUUGAAAGCUAAAGUAAUCUUCUAAUAAAAGGUCAGGAAUUAUCAAAUUUACUUGUAAUUAUUACUAAUUCUUCUGUGACUUCUUUUUUUUUUUUUUGAGGUGGAGUCUUGCUCUGUCGCCCAGGCUGGAGUGCAGUGGCACGAUCUCGGCUCAUUGCAAGCUCCACCUUCUGGGUUCACACCAUUCUCCUGCCUCAGUCUCCUCAGCAGCUGGGAUUACAGGCGCCCACUACCAUGCCAGGCUAAUUUUUUUUGUAUUUUUUAGUAGAGACGGGGUUUCACUGUUAACCAGGAUGGUCUCGAUCUCCUAACCUCGUGAUCCGCCUGCCUCGGCCUCCCAAAGUGCUGGGAUUACAGGCGUGAGACACCACGCCCGGCCUCUUCUGUGACUUCUUAACCACAAAUAAAGUCUUGGCCUUGGAAAAAGGAAGAUCUGAAACAGAACAAGGCAAUUAAAAAGUGGGUGGAGGAAGUAUAGGAGUAGUGGAGAAAAAAGAAAGGAAUGGAUUUUCUAAAUUUAAAACACUCUUUGCCCUUUCCUGAAAUAAUGACUUAUAUUCUUUGAGUUCACAAGAGAGUAAUUGGAUAUGCAUGAUGCAAUGCUGGAAUUUUAGGUAUUUUGCCUAAAGGUUAUUAACAAUUAGUACCACUAGGGGAAAAAUCAUAAAGUUAGUUAGAAUAACAACCCUCUCUCAAAGGAUAAUGAAAACUGGACUUGUAAUCUGGUCAUAAUAAAAAUAUAUUAUGUUUAUAUUGGAGCCUCACAUGUCAAGAGGAAAACUCACAAACUAGAAUAUGUCCAACAGGUGGCCAUGACUAAAUGAAGACUGAAAAACAAGUUGUAUGAGGACCAAUGAAGGAAUCUUCCUUUGAAGCAGUAAAGACUGCGAAAAAAAACAUGAAAAACUGUCUUUAGAUAAAUCCUUUAACAGGAAUGGUACACAGAACAGGGAGAUGUUAUAAGUGGAGCUACUGAUGACAGCAUUAGAGCCAAAGGGUGAAAGGCAGAUGUUGAGUCAUUCAAUAGAAGAGGUGUCUGAUCUCUUCCUAUCCAAUGUAGCAGAAUCCAUCCCAUACUAUAUCUGAAAGAUGACCACUUUGCUUUGACAUUUGCAGUGGUACAGAACUCACUAUCUCAAGAAUACCUUCCUCGGGAUGGUAAUAAGUAUGAGAAAUGCCCUUUCUAGUUCUAAAUUUCUUCUCCACAAGACAACUCAUUCCAUUUUCAAACAAUUAUUAGAUCUAUCCAUCUCUUAGUCUUCUAUUUGUCAAGCAAACAUCUCCAAUUCCUCACAUCAUUAUUAAUUCAGUAUUGUGAACCUUGUACCAUUUUAGUCACCAGCUUUGUGGAUAAUCUUUGGAUUGUAGUGUCUGUAACUGACAUCCAAAUUAAGUGCUCUUGAUAUGGUCUAACUAGCAACUGACCCCAUCCAUAUUUCUAUUUCCAAAGCAGAGAAACAAGAAAAUCAAUUGGCCAAUAUAACUGAAUAAAUCCAGGUAAAUACAUAUUUGGCUUUCAAUUAGUCAGGAAGUCUGAAUUUCUAGAGGAUAUUGAAGAUACAGCAUCAGACAAUGCAUUUGUCUGAUUGCUGACAACUUUUAAUUUCCCUGUUCAAGAAAAUCGAUCAAUGUGUGUUAGCUAAACACCUGUUAUGUUCAACCCUGUGUUAGUCAUCAUUUGAUGUGUAACAGAAGUGUAAGGCCAGGUACCUACAAUAUUUGUAGAGUCAAUACUAAGGUACAUGAAAUAAUUUUAGAGUUUUUACAAGAUAUACAUCAUUAUGUAUACUUAUAUGAAAUAGUCUCAAGUUCAGCAGGGAAGACUGGGCCCAGGUGGGCUGAGGAAUGCAUGUGAAGAGGUAGGGAGGCAGGAAACUUGAAGGAUGGUUAGGGCUUGUCUAUUUGGAAUGGAGAGAGAGGCCACAAAGGAGUGCGUGUGUAGAAAUAAUGAGUAAUAAAGGAGGUCAAGGUUAGUAGGGACGUGUGUGGUUACAAAUAGAAAUAUUUGGAUUUGUACCAUAACAUUUCUAUUACAACUUCCUUUCUCCCAUUCCAAACAUGCUUGGUUUUACAGAAAAAACUUCCAGGACUCAGAUUUCCAUGGGUAUUAGUUUGCAAACUAAUCCCUGAUGAGAUAUUAUGAGGAGCUAAGAGAGUGAUGCUAGAAUUCUCAAGUGGCAAUGGCAAAUUUCAGGGCUGACUUCCUGGAUAACCAAUUCUUUUUUUUUAUUCUGAGCAUGGGAAUUUCAGUUCAUCCAGCAGAAGAAAUGUUUUUUGAUAGAUGUGACUUUUGGUACAUUUUGAAUUAUGUCAUCUUGGGGACAAAUGGUCCCAAAAGCCAAGGUCCUAAAUGUGUACAUCUGAUCCAACUCUAAGAACUUUUGCUCAGUUGUGACGUCAAAGAAUUUCUAUUUUAGAGUGGUCUUCUGCAACUGAUACCAUCCAUAUUUCUGUCUCCAAAGCAGAGAAACAAGAAAAUCAAUUUGCCAAUAUAACUGAAUAAAUCCAGGUAAAUACAUAUUUGGCUUUCAAUUAGCCAGGGAGUCUGAAUUUCUAGAGAAUAUUGAAGAGACAGCGUCAGACAAUGCAAUUUCCUUUAAUAGGGACCAUAACCUCAGAGUUGCUGCUCUGUUUUUUAAUAUUGUACAAUUAACUUUUUUUUUUUUUGCAGCACACUCUGCUUAUAGCUUCUGUGGAAACUUAAACAUUAUUCAAUAGAAUAAUUUCCUGGAAAAUCUUUUGAAAGUGGUCACAGCCCUGACCUUGCUCUGGUGCCCUGGGUCCACCAGCAUGCUGUUUCAUUACCUCAGGAAGGUUUGGUGCCAAGAGACAGUCCAAGAGUUAGUGCAUAAAGAAAGCUAGGUUCAUAAAAGAAUUAAUAUCUGCCUUCUUUCAAGGAGGGAAACUGCCACUUCCAACCAUUUUAUGCAUCUAUCACUUCUCUUCUAUCUUCAUCAUUCAACCCUUCAACUGGCCUACCUAGAUGACAGGCUUUUACACCUGGUGAACGUCUAGAAUAACUGCCACAGAAAAUACAUCUAUGACAUUUAAUCACUGAGUGUUCGAGAGAAGGCAAAGCCCGGACACCAAGUAAGCCAGGUACCCCUGAGGCAAACUCCAGAGGCUUCCCUGGGCCGUGAAACCAGCCAAAGAAGGCAAAAUUCACCCACCCUCCAAAAGACGUUUGCGUUCCCACGCAUGUUCUCCGCCCUGAGAUAGCUUAGAACACAGCUCUACCAACGACUUUUCAUUUCCAUUAACCUAUUCCUGAUUCUUUGAUUCAAGGAACCUUGCCAUCCUUAGCUCUUUGGAUUAUUUAUGAGGUCUGAUUUAUAAUACAAAAUUAUACAGUGUACCAUAGUUAAAACCUUGAAGGAAAAAAUGCAUUUUGUAUUUCUUCUUCUUGGAGAGGCCCAAACACCCCUCCCCAGGGUUGGAAAGGAGAGUGGAGGUAGGGUAAUGGAACUCCCUCUCAGGCCUCUGAAUAUGGAGAAAUUAAGAAGAAUGGGAUGGGGUUGGGGGACAGAGGUAGUAAGCAAACAAAUGACUUAUUUUUAAUCUAGAGUUACCCAUUUGGAGAGAGAUACAGGGUUAUAUCCUAACGGUACCUUUUUAAAAAAUAAGUCAUAAGUAUGCUCAUGCCCUAACAAGUUAGUGAAUUUUUCCAGUAAAAUUAAAAUUAAAUAGAAAGCCAUGGUAAAUUACCCAUUUCAUUUCUCCUUCUAGAUUUAAAAAAAAAAAAAGAGGCACUUUGUCGCUUCUUACUGUGAGUGCACUUCAGCCUUAAUACAUGCAUUUAUGUCAAGGGGGCCAUUUACACUGUUGUCUGCUGGAGUUUUUCUUCUUUCAACUUAGUAGGGAAUAUUUGUAAUCUUUAUUACCCCAAAUAAAUC
rnacentral:lncRNA from 10 species